rnacentral:rRNA from 1 species
GAUGAACGCUGGCGGCGUGCUUAACACAUGCAAGUCGAACGAAGCACUUUGAAACAAUCCUUCGGGUGCGUUUCUUAGUGACUUAGUGGCGGACGGGUGAGUAACGCGUGGGUAACCUGCCUCAUGCAGGGGGAUAACAGUUAGAAAUGACUGCUAAUACCGCAUAAGCGCACAGUACCGCAUGGUACAGUGUGAAAAAGAUUUAUCAGCAUGAGAUGGACCCGCGUCUGAUUAGCUAGUUGGUGAGGUAACGGCCCACCAAGGCGAUGAUCAGUAGCCGACUUGAGACGAGUGAUCGGCCACAUUGGGACUGAGACACGGCCCAAAAUCCUACGGGAGCAGCAGUGGGAAUAUUGCACAAUGGGGGAAACCCUGAUGCAGCGACGCCGCGUGAGCGAUGAAGUAUUCGGUAUGUAAAGCUCUAUCAGCAA